GUUAUUAUGUGGUGUAUUGAAGGAAGGUUAUCCAAAGUGUAAUAUGGGUUAAACAUGUGUUAAUUGAAUAAAUGGGUAAUGGUUUGGCUAAGGGGAGGGGCUAGGCCUUUAAAAGCCUGCCAACCACAGUUUACUGGGGGUAGUCAGUCUGGAAGACAGUCAGUGUAUUUGACUGUAGGGCAUUGAUCAUGGAGAACCUUUUUGAACGAUCCUUUUGAAUAUUUGUUUUGCUUUCUUUUGGACGUCCAGUUUUUGUAUCUUGUCACUCCUUUUUUUGGAAAUAAAAGCACCUCAAUUCUUUUUGCAACUUAAGCCAUCUCGUAAUCCUUUUUUUUUAAGUCAAAGAAUCCGACUCUUUGUAACAUUUUGGCCAUCCCACCCAUUGAAAAUUGUCUUCUGCAUUUUGAACGCAUGGCAAAAACUUGGCAAUAGCCGAGGGGCCAAUGGGCCUGUCGACUAAUUCCCCCGCUGACUGGAAAAGCCUUGGAGGCCAAUACAGCUAUGGAUGAAGACAAGUCUGAUUCUUACCAGGACCUGAGGGAGGCGCUGUUGGACAAUUUUGACAUCUCUCCAGAGAUGUAUCGUCAGCGGUUUCGGGCUACUUCAGGACCACCUGGGGAGACACAAUCGGAGGCGUACCACAGGUUGAAGGGCCUCUACCGGCGUUGGAUGCGGCCGGAGCGGAGGAGCAAAGAAGAGUUGGCGGAGUCCAUCAUCUUGGAGCAGCUGCUUCUGGUGCUUCCUCCUGACACCAGGACGUGGGUGAGAGAACACGAACCCGAAGAUGGAUUAACGGCAACAAAGUUGGCCCUGCAGUACCUGAAUGCGAGGAAGGGGUCCACAUCACGUCCAGCACGAGAGGAUAUAAGGGACUUCAACCGGCCCAGGGACAGCACUCCGGGGGUCUUCGAAGGUUUGAAUUAUGACAGGAUACUGGCUCCAUAAGAUUGUGCUGCUGGAAGCGAGAAAGAAUCACCUGAGGAUGAGGUGGACCUUUGGAAGUGAGACCUGAUGUCUGAUGAGGAAGACGGCAUUGUUGAAGGGGUGUCUGGAUGGAUUGUGUGACCUACGUCCUUUCGCAGCCAGGAGCUCACCGAGCUCUUUGCCACGCUGCAGUCGAGAUUACAGGCGAUUCCGAAGUACAGGGCAACGCACCACAGAUGUCUGCAAAAUGGACAGAAUUCUGACAGAAUGCCGCCAUUCACCUACAGCUCCGAGGCGGCAAACACACUUCAUGAUGCUGUAGGAUUUUCAUUUAUAUGCUAAUUAGAGCCAUCUCUCCACAUACGUCUUGGUUCGUAUCCGUCAAUAUGUGGCACAGAUGAACGCGACGUUCACAUGAACGUCAUGAAUUGUCGUUAUCUACCGAAAAUUAGGGAGAUUUCCGGGGCGCUUAAGGAAAUUAUGAAAAUCAGUGUUUUUUGGUUUUUCAACAAUGUUUUUUGGGAAAAUGUCACGAUUAAAGUCUUCAAUUGUGUGAACUGAUAGACUUUUACCGGAAACAGGAAAAAUAAUGUUGCCAUCUUACUUGCUGCUUAUUCUAUUUUACAAUGAAAUUACAUUACGUAAUUAAACACAAAGUGAAUGAAACCUUCAUACAUAA
ensembl:lncRNA